rnacentral:rRNA from 1 species
GGCCAGACUCCUACGGGAGGCAGCAGUGAGGAAUAUUGGUCAAUGGCCGGGAGGCUGAACCAGCCAAGUCGCGUGAGGGAAGACGGCCCUACGGGUUGUAAACCUCUUUUGUCAGGGAGCAAGGUGCAGGUCGGGACCUGCUGUGAGAGUACCUGAAGAAAAAGCAUCGGCUAACUCCGUGCCAGCAGCCGCGGUAAUACGGAGGAUGCGAGCGUUAUCCGGAUUUAUUGGGUUUAAAGGGUGCGUAGGCGGGUUGUUAAUUCAGCGGUAAAAGCCGGGGGCACACCCCCGGCGAGCCGUUGAAACUGACUGUCUUGAGAUGUCGAGAGGUAUGCGGAAUGCGCAGUGUAGCGGUGAAAUGCUUAGAUAUUGCGCAGAACUCCGAUUGCGAAGGCAGCAUACCGGCGGCGAUCUGACGCUGAGGCACGAAAGCGUGGGUAUCGAACAGGAUUAGAUACCCCAGUAA